GACAGAGGAUGCGAGCGUUGUCCGGAAUUAUUGGGCGUAAAGAGCUUGUAGGCGGUCUGUCGCGUCUGCUGUGAAAAUCCGGGGCUCAACCCCGGACUUGCAGUGGGUACGGGCAGACUAGAGUGUGGUAGGGGAGACUGGAAUUCCUGGUGUAGCGGUGAAAUGCGCAGAUAUCAGGAGGAACACCGAUGGCGAAGGCAGGUCUCUGGGCCACUACUGACGCUGAGAAGCGAAAGCAUGGGGAGCGAACAGG
rnacentral:rRNA from 1 species